UACGUAGGGUGCAAGCGUUGUCCGGAAUUAUUGGGCGUAAAGAGCUCGUAGGCGGUUUGUCGCGUCGGCUGUGAAAACCUGGGGCUCAACCCCGGGCCUGCAGCCGAUACGGGCAAACUAGAAUUCGGUAGGGGAGACUGGAAUUCCUGGUGUAGCGGUGAAAUGCGCAGAUAUCAGGAGGAACACCGGUGGCGAAGGCGGGUCUCUGGGCCGAUAUUGACGCUGAGGAGCGAAAGCGUGGGGGAGCAAACAGG
rnacentral:rRNA from 1 species